UACGGAGGAUGCGAGCGUUAUCCGGAUUUAUUGGGUUUAAAGGGUGCGUAGGCGGUCCGUUAAGUCAGCGGUAAAAUUGCGGGGCUCAACCCCGUCGAGCCGCUGAAACUGGCGGACUUGAGUUGGCGAGAAGUACGCGGAAUGCGCGGUGUAGCGGUGAAAUGCAUAGAUAUCGCGCAGAACUCCGAUUGCGAAGGCAGCGUACCGGCGCCAGACUGACGCUGAGGCACGAAAGCGUGGGGAUCGAACAGG
rnacentral:rRNA from 1 species